rnacentral:rRNA from 2 species
UACGAGAGGCCCAAACGUUAUUCGGAUUUACUGGGCUUAAAGAGUUCGUAGGCGGCGCGGAAAGUAGGGUGUGAAAGCCCUCGGCUCAACCGAGGAAUUGCGCUCUAAACUACCGUGCUUGAGGAAGCUAGAGGUGAGCGGAACUGAUGGUGGAGCGGUGAAAUGCGUUGAUAUCAUCAGGAACACCGGAGGCGAAGGCGGCUCACUGGGGCUUUUCUGACGCUGAGGAACGAAAGCCAGGGGAGCGAACGGG